CGCGGCCUAUCAGCUUGUUGGUGAGGUAACGGCUCACCAAGGCAUCGACGGGUAGCUGGUCUGAGAGGACGAUCAGCCACACUGGGACUGAGACACGGCCCAGACUCCUGCGGGAGGCAGUAGUGGGGAAUCUUGCGCAAUGGGCGAAAGCCUGACGCAGCAACGCCGCGUGGGGGAUGAAGGCUCUCGGGUUGUAAACCCCUUUCAGCAGGGACGAAAAUGACGGUACCUGCAGAAGAAGCUCCGGCCAACUACGUGCCAGCAGCCGCGGUAAUACGUAGGGGGCGAGCGUUGUCCGGAUUUAUUGGGCGUAAAGAGCUCGUAGGCGGCUCAGUAAGUCGACCGUGAAAUUCCAGGGCUCAACCCUGGAACGCCGGUCGAUACUGCUGUGGCUAGAGUACGGUAGGGGAGUGUAGAAUUCCUGGUGUAGCGGUGAAAUGCGCAGAUAUCAGGAGGAAUACCGAUAGCGAAGGCAGCACUCUGGGCCGGUACUGACGCUGAGGAGCGAAAGCGUGGGGAGCAAACAGGAUUAGAUACCCUGGUAGUCCACGCCGUAAACGUUGGGCACUAGGUGUGGGUUCCAUCCAACGGGAUCCGUGCCGUAGCUAACGCAUUAAGUGCCCCGCCUGGGGAGUACGG
rnacentral:rRNA from 1 species